UUUGCUCUUCAUUUCAACAUGUCUUUUCCUCUUACUCUUUGUGAUUUUCACUUGAUCCUUUUGAGUUUUGAUUCCAAAGUUCUUAAGAGACAGAGAUCCUAUUGGCUGGUGCAAGACCAUAGCAGUUGUGUGUGUGUGUGUGUGUGUGUGUGAGAGAGAGAGAGAGAGAGAGGGAGAGGGAGAGGGAGAGGGAGAGGGAGAGGGAGAGCGCUGAGUCACUGUCUCCCAUUUCUGGCUUCGCUUCUCACAUCCACAACCCAUGUGCUCUACUUCCAUUUUUUCCUCUCAUUCCUGUUCCAAGCACAUCUGAAGGAACACACACAGGACCUUGGCAGGCAGAGAUGUACCCUGUGGCUUGGUCUUUCUCUGCUCAGCUAGUGGUGAUGAAAACAGUAACAAAGACCCUGACUUUGCUAAAUGACCAAGACUCACUCAGAUAACAAGCCAGUACAGUUGCUGGCAGAGAGCCUUCUAGACGCUUGAUGCAGUGUGACCUACUGGAGUGAGAAGGAGAAUUGGAAGGGGAGGGCUCUCAGUUACAUUUUGGUCCAAUUAAAGGAUACUAUUAUCUCCUCCUGAUGUGGACUGAUGAUCCUGUUUAUCAUUAACUAUCAUCUACUGAGAACUUUUAUGUGCCAGGUACUGAACUAGGUAUUGCAUGUUCAUUGUCUUACCAUAAUCCUGCAAUUUCGUUGUUGUUGUUGUUUUUUUUUUUUAACAAAGGAGAAAACUGAGUUUCAGAAAGGUUAACUCAUUUGUUCAAUAGUGUUACGCAGCUUAUAAACGGUACAGUCAGAAAUCCAAUCUUGGUAUGACUAUAAAAUAACUUAUACCCUUUCUGGGAGAAACACAUAGCUUACGCCCUGUAAAUUUGAUAUUUAAAGUGCCAGGUGACUGUGGCCUAGAAAAGGCGAUUUGGCCAUGGGAAUACAGAGUAAGUCAAUAAUUUAUAUUCAGAACAAUGUCUACUCUUUUCGUUACAGAGAAUUCCAGGAAAACUCAGAUGAGGUAGAUUCAUAAGGCAGAAAAAUCCCUUCUUGGGAGUUCCCGUCAUGGAUCAGCAGUUAACGAACCUGACUAGUAACGAACCUGACUAGUAUCCAUGAGGUUUGAUCCUUGGCCUCACUCAGUGGAUUAAAGAUCCAGCAUUGCCAUGAGCUGUGGUGCAGCUCUCACACGUAGCUGGGAUCUGGCAUAGCUGUGGUGUAGGCCAGCGGCUACAGCUCUAAUUUGACCCCUAGCCUGGGAACGUCCAUAUGCCACAGGUGUGGCCCUAAAAAGACCAAAAAAAGAAAAAAAAAAUCGCUUCUUAAUACUGAGGGAGUAAGAACCCUGCCUCCUACCUCCCCUAACCCCCAGUCUGGGCCUGGCGAGCCUACAAGAAAAAAUUUAAUGUCACUGUUCUUAUUUUAAAUAAUUACUCCUGAAUUUUUAAAUGAA
rnacentral:lncRNA from 1 species